CGAAGAACCUUACCAGGCCUUGACAUGCAGAGAACUUUCCAGAGAUGGAUUGGUGCCUUCGGGAACUCUGACACAGGUGCUGCAUGGCUGUCGUCAGCUCGUGUCGUGAGAUGUUGGGUUAAGUCCCGCAACGAGCGCAACCCUUGCCUUUAGUUGCCAGCAGUUCGGCUGGGCACUCUAAAGGGACUGCCGGUGUUAAACCGGAGGAAGGUGGGGAUGACGUCAAGUCCUCAUGGCCUUUAUGACCAGGGCUACACACGUACUACAAUGGCCGAUACAAAGGGCAGCGACACUGCGAGGUGAAGCCAAUCCCGUAAAAUCGGUCUCAGUCCGGAUUGGAGUCUGCAACUCGACUCCAUGAAGUUGGAAUCGCUAGUAAUCGUGGAUCAGCAUGCCACGGUGAAUACGUUCCCGGGCCUU
rnacentral:rRNA from 1 species